AACCAACAUUGAACAUAAGCGACAGCUUGAUUCAGUCAGAGUGAAGAGGGCCGGCAAAUGUGGUGCCAGCCGCCGCGGUUAUACCACACGACCCAAGUUGACCUUGCAGCGGCGUAAAGCGUGAUUAAAGUUACCCUGCCACUAUAGUUAAACUAAAAAUUAGCUGUAUAAUGCUCUUUACCUAGUAUACCCAAAAACGAAAGUUACUAUAUACAAAACAACUUGAAUUCACUACAGUUAGGGCACAAACUAGGAUUAGAUACCCUACUAUGCCUAACCAUAAACCUUCAACCUACACUAACAUCGCCAGGUAACUACGAGCAAAGCUUAAAACCCAAAGGACUUGACGGUCCCCCACAUCCCCCUAGAGGA
rnacentral:rRNA from 1 species